rnacentral:rRNA from 1 species
AGUCGAGCGAACAGACGAGGAGCUUGCUCCUCUGACGUUAGCGGCGGACGGGUGAGUAACACGUGGAUAACCUACCUAUAAGACUGGGAUAACUUCGGGAAACCGGAGCUAAUACCGGAUAAUAUAUUGAACCGCAUGGUUCAAUAGUGAAAGACGGUUUUGCUGUCACUUAUAGAUGGAUCCGCGCCGCAUUAGCUAGUUGGUAAGGUAACGGCUUACCAAGGCAACGAUGCGUAGCCGACCUGAGAGGGUGAUCGGCCACACUGGAACUGAGACACGGUCCAGACUCCUACGGGAGGCAGCAGUAGGGAAUCUUCCGCAAUGGGCGAAAGCCUGACGGAGCAACGCCGCGUGAGUGAUGAAGGUCUUCGGAUCGUAAAACUCUGUUAUUAGGGAAGAACAAAUGUGUAAGUAACUAUGCACGUCUUGACGGUACCUAAUCAGAAAGCCACGGCUAACUACGUGCCAGCAGCCGCGGUAAUACGUAGGUGGCAAGCGUUAUCCGGAAUUAUUGGGCGUAAAGCGCGCGUAGGCGGUUUUUUAAGUCUGAUGUGAAAGCCCACGGCUCAACCGUGGAGGGUCAUUGGAAACUGGAAAACUUGAGUGCAGAAGAGGAAAGUGGAAUUCCAUGUGUAGCGGUGAAAUGCGCAGAGAUAUGGAGGAACACCAGUGGCGAAGGCGACUUUCNGGUCUGUAACUGACGCUG